rnacentral:hammerhead_ribozyme from 1 species
GCACUGCUGACGAGUCCCAUAAUAGGACGAAACAGCCGUCCAAUGC